AUUGAACGCUGGCGGCAGGCCUAACACAUGCAAGUCGAGCGGAUGAAGGGAGCUUGCUCCUGGAUUCAGCGGCGGACGGGUGAGUAAUGCCUAGGAAUCUGCCUGGUAGUGGGGGAUAACGUCCGGAAACGGGCGCUAAUACCGCAUACGUCCUGAGGGAGAAAGUGGGGGAUCUUCGGACCUCACGCUAUCAGAUGAGCUUAGGUCGGAUUAGCUAGUUGGUGGGGUAAAGGCCUACCAAGGCGACGAUCGGUAACUGGUCUGAGAGGAUGAUCAGUCACACUGGAACUGAGACACGGUCUAGACUCCUACGGGAGGCAGCAGUGGGGAAUAUUGGACAAUGGGCGAAAGCCUGAUCCAGCCAUGCCGCGUGUGUGAAGAAGGUCUUCGGAUUGUAAAGCACUUUAAGUUGGGAGGAAGGGCAGUAAGUUAAUACCUUGCUGUUUUGACGUUACCAACAGAAUAAGCACCGGCUAACUUCGUG
rnacentral:rRNA from 1 species